rnacentral:rRNA from 3 species
UGGGGAAUAUUGGACAAUGGGCGCAAGCCUGAUCCAGCCAUGCCGCGUGAGUGAUGAAGGCCCUAGGGUUGUAAAGCUCUUUCACCGGUGAAGAUAAUGACGGUAACCGGAGAAGAAGCCCCGGCUAACUUCGUGCCAGCAGCCGCGGUAAUACGAAGGGGGCUAGCGUUGUUCGGAUUUACUGGGCGUAAAGCGCACGUAGGCGGACUAUUAAGUCAGGGGUGAAAUCCCGGGGCUCAACCCCGGAACUGCCUUUGAUACUGGUAGUCUUGAGUUCGAGAGAGGUGAGUGGAAUUCCGAGUGUAGAGGUGAAAUUCGUAGAUAUUCGGAGGAACACCAGUGGCGAAGGCGGCUCACUGGCUCGAUACUGACGCUGAGGUGCGAAAGCGUGGGGAGCAAACAGG